UGACCUCAAUCAGGUAGAA
rnacentral:rRNA from 1 species